UACGAGUGCCUCAAGCGUUAUCCGGAAUCACUGGGCGUAAAGGGUGCGUAGGUGGUCGGGUAAGUCUGAUGUGAAAUCUCUGAGCUCAACUCAGAAACUGCAUUGGAUACUAUCCGGCUAGAGGAGUGGAGGGGGGACUGGAAUGCUCGGUGUAGCAGUGAAAUGCGUAGAUAUCGAGCGGAACACCAGUGGCGAAGGCGAGUCCCUGGACACUUCCUGACACUGAGGCACGAAAGCCAGGGGAGCAAACGGG
rnacentral:rRNA from 1 species